ACCCGGAGAACUGAAACAUCUUAGUACCCGGAGGAAGAGAAAGAAAAUUCGAUUCCCUUAGUAGCGGCGAGCGAAACGGGAAGAGCCCAAACCAACAAGCUUGCUUGUUGGGGUUGUAGGACACUCUAUACGGAGUUACAAAGGACGACAUUAGACGAAUCAUCUGGAAAGAUGAAUCAAAGAAGGUAAUAAUCCUGUAGUCGAAAAUGUUGUCUCUCUUGAGUGGAUCCUGAGUACGACGGAGCACGUGAAAUU
rnacentral:rRNA from 1 species